UAUGUGAGGGGCUGGCCGGUUAUUCUUCACCAAGGGGCGACCCUGCACCCCUAGGCAUUAAUCGGCUGGACCCUGUCAAACAGCCGAUCAAAUGAUGUAGCCACGGCUCCCAGCAUCUCUGCCUUCCCUGGCUUUCCAGGCAAUCAUUGACUGACUUUCCUUUUCAAUAGAUUAGUUCAUGUUUCUCUGAUUUAACAUAGGCAUCAUAAGGUGUAUACUUUUUUUUUUUUUUUUUUACCAGUUUCCUUCAUGCUGCAUAAUUCUUUGGAGAUUCAACAAUGAUGCUUAUGUUGUUCAUCUUUUUACUUGUUAGGAUGGAGCGGCAACUUCCAACUUCUUACAUGCUGGACUGGAAACCAGAAGGACCCUCCUGCCCUUUUUAUUUCAUCCUUCUCAACAAAGAAAGUUAUGAUACAGUGACACUGCUGUGGUCUGAAUGUUUGUGUUCCCCCCUAAUUCACAUGUUGAAAUCCUUACCCACAAAGGUGAUGAUAUUAAGAGGUGGGGCCUUUUGGAAGUGCUUAAAUCAUGAGAGUGGAGCCAUCAUGAAUGAUGCCUUAUGAAAGAGGCUCCAGAGAGAUCCCCAAGCCCUUCCACCAUGUUAAGGAUGCAACAGGAAGUUAAUGACCCUGAAAAAUGCCCUGACCUGACCAUGCUGGCACCUGAAUCUGUGACUUCUGGCCUCGAGUACUGUGAGAAAUAAAUUUCUUUUGUUUAUAAGCUA